UCAGACCGCGGACCCGACCAAACUGGCCGAUUGUCUAGUCCGAUGGAUCGCCGGUCACAUCCCGUACCUUGGAACCACGCUAAGGCGUCCCCACUUGUUUCUCCUUGCUUGUGCCUUUCAUUCUUAACCUGUUUCUCUCUCCCACACGAUCAGCCUCGCCGGAGAAGUAAAGACCACCCACAAUCGGCCUGUCUUUGGCCGAUCUCUCCCUCUCUCUCUCUAUCUCUAUCUCUCUCUCUCUCUCUAUCUCUAUCUCUCUCUCUCUCUCUCUCUCUCUCUC
rnacentral:lncRNA from 1 species